ensembl:lncRNA
CCCCCUCCUCCCUCCCCGCUCCGGGCGUGCUGCAUUCUGGUUUCCGUAGUACUGCGAGUUUCACAAACGGUGCUGGCUGCGCGUGCGCAGUGUAGUUCAGCCAAGCACAAAGAUGCCCCAAACCUAGGCGUCUGCUGCCAACACAUCGUAAAGGGGGCCUCUUUCCCAUUCAUCCUCCAGGAGGCAAAGGGAGGAUAAAGAACAAAACAGUCCUUGUCCCCCACCCAGAGGCUGGCCUGAGGCGGAACAAACAGGACUGCAGUCUUCGGGAGAAGAGAACAAACAAACAGAGAUGGAGGGAUGCGCAGAGAGGGCCGCCUCGUGAGGACGAUGGAAUGGGAAUGACCUGACACAGCCAAGGGUGGGCCACCACCAGAAGCUGGGCAGAGGCGAGAAAGGGUUCCUCCCAGAGCCUCCUGCCCCUCCAUUUCAGGCUUUCAGGCUCUGGAACUGUGAAACAGUUGCUUUGUGUAGUUUGGUGACCCCAAGAAACCUGUACAGGGGACCCAGAUCUGGAAGCCCAGUGGUCCAGCUCUGGAGGAGAUCUGCCUGCAGCCUGCCCUCCAAGAACACCUUCUCUGUUAGCCUUCAGCACUGGGGAUGCUGCCCACACUCUCAGAACAUCAGGGCAGCUUGUGUGCCCAAACAGGUGCCCCUUGGGACAGACACAUUGACUUGGGCCCACAUGGGAGCCUGGCAUGGGAGCUACAUGAACCCUUGGAGAUCAGGACCUCCUUCCCUCCAGGACCACAUCUGUGGGAUUCCACGUACAUCUUUUUCUUUCUCUCUCCAAUGUUACCAAAUGCAGGCCGGGGUGGGUGAGUAUUGCUAAUCAGAG